rnacentral:rRNA from 1 species
CUUUGGCCGUCCGAGUUGUAUUCUGGAGAAGUGCUUUCCGCGCUGGACCGUGUAUAAGUCUCUUGGAACAGAGCGUCAAUAGAAGGGUGAGAAUCCCGUCUUUGANCACGGACUNACCAGUGCNUUUGUGAUGCGCUCUCAAUGAGUCGNAGUUGUUUUGGGAAUGCAGCUCNAAAAUGGGUGGGUGAAUUCCAUCUNAAAGCUNAAAUAUUGGCGAGAGACCGAUAGCGAACAAAGUACCGUGAGGGAAAGRAUGAAAAGCACUUUGGAAAGAGAGUUUAAACAGUACGUGAAAUUGCUGAAAGGGAAACGCUUGAAGUCAGUCGCGUUAGCCGGAACUCASCCUUGCUUUCGCUUGGUGCACUUUCCGGKUUGACGGGCCAGCAUCGAUUUUUGACCGUCGGAUAAGGGCUAGAGUAAUGUGGCACCCUCCGGGUUGUGUUAUAGACUCUUGGUCGCACACGGCGGUUUGGGAUCGAGGAACGCAGCGCGCCGCAUAGGNCADGGGGUUUCGCCCACNUUUUCGCGCUUAGNGAUGCUGGCAUAAUGGCUUUAAACGACCCGUCUUGAAACACGGACCAAGGAGUCUAACAUACCUGCGAGUGUUUGGGUGGAAAACCCGAGCGCGUAAUGAAAGUGAAAGUUGAGACCUCUGUCGUGGAGGGCAUCGACGCCCGGACCUGACGUUCUCUGACGGAUCCGCGGUAGAGCAUGUAUGUUGGGACCCGAAAGA